ensembl:snoRNA
UUGCAUCGAUGGACGGACCUGAAGCAGGCUUCUUUGGCUCUGGGUUUGCAUAGAAAUGCUAAACGGAAUCUUCCUCGCUCUUCCUGACUGCUACAUUCUAUAGCAGCACAGAUUGAUUUGAGGAAUACAUGU